AUUAUAAUUGUAUUGCAUUGGGUAAUAUUCCGAGGCGUUUCGAAGAAUAAAAAGGCUCUCCAUACACUAACCCUACUCAAUACGUCCUCUGUGUACAGAGCGGUAACAUGGCUCUCCAAGCGUCUGAGCAUGGCUGUAAUGGUAAACCAACCCCUUUUGGAGGGUUGGAGCAACUGUUCUCCAUGUUAGCU
rnacentral:ribozyme from 1 species